AAGAAGGCCUUCGGGUUGUAAAGUACUUUCAGCGGGGAGGAAGGUGAUGAGGUUAAUAACCUUGUCGAUUGACGUUACCCGCAGAAGAAGCACCGGCUAACUCCGUGCCAGCAGCCGCGGUAAUACGGAGGGUGCAAGCGUUAAUCGGAAUUACUGGGCGUAAAGCGCACGCAGGCGGUCUGUCAAGUCGGAUGUGAAAUCCCCGGGCUCAACCUGGGAACUGCAUUCGAAACUGGCAGGCUGGAGUCUUGUAGAGGGGGGUAGAAUUCCAGGUGUAGCGGUGAAAUGCGUAGAGAUCUGGAGGAAUACCGGUGGCGAAGGCGGCCCCCUGGACAAAGACUGACGCUCA
rnacentral:rRNA from 1 species